AUGUGGGACAAACAUCGUUAUAAGUUGUCCAAGUUGCCAAGAAAGAGUUCAAUGGCACGAGUAAGAAACCGAGGUAUUUUCACGGGUCGCCCUCGUUCUGCGGUUGAUUUCUUUCGCAUUUCUCGUAUCAUUUUUCGUGGAUUAGCAUCUCGAGGUUCUUUGAUGGGCAUAAAGAAAUCGUCUUGGUAG
rnacentral:rRNA from 1 species